rnacentral:rRNA from 1 species
AAUUGAAACGCUGGCGGCAGGCCUAAACAACAUGCAAAGUCGAGCGGUAAACAUUUUCUAGCUUGCUAGAAGAUGACGAGCGGCGGACGGGUGAGUAAUGCUUGGAAAUCUGCCUGGUAGUGGGGGACAACAGUUGGAAACGACUGCUAAUACCGCAUAACCUCUUCGGAGCAAAAGUGGGGGACCCUCGGGCCUCACGCUACCAGAUGAGUCCAAGUGGGAUUAGCUAGUUGGUGAGGUAAAGGCUCACCAAGGCGACGAUCCCUAGCUGGUUUGAGAGGAUGAUCAGCCACACUGGAACUGAGACACGGUCCAGACUCCUACGGGAGGCAGCAGUGGGGAAUAUUG